GAAGCCGGGACUGCCAGUAGGCAACGGUCCCGAGGUCUGAAAUCAAUUCUGGUCUUUGAGGGGACGUACAGACGCACCAUUUGCUCCACCAGUUCGGGGCAGUCCGACUCCCCACGCAGGACGCUACAGGCAGUAAUUGUCUUAGUUAUCGUUCUACUCCAUCUGGCGGCCGCCAAAAAGUAACUCUAAAAAACUCACUAACCACCACAAAAAAGGGCCAUCGACCUCUCAAUGAAAAGGACUACAACCUCCAACUCUUACAAAAACUAUUUAAACAUUCAAAGAAAUCCAAAAGGAGUUCAUACAGACGUCAAUGGUCUGAUUCGAGUGCGGACUACGGGUAUGGAAAGUACAGCAAUAAGUACAAUGGGCCUCCGCCGUAUCUGGUGUAUAAUAGGAAGACAGGAACCUACUACCCUUACUAUAACUACCCUAAGGAGAAUGCUGUGCGACGAAGUGGCUACAACCAGCGUUCAUGAGGACCAUGAGGACUUAACCCUUUGAAAUAAUUGCGAAGGCUUUAAUAAUCCGGUAUCUACGUUAUCCAAAUCUAACAGUACAGUAAACAAAGGAAAUAUUUGACUAUCUGUUGGCUAGUUAGCACAGCUGUUUAGGAUUGAAGAAAAAAAAAUCGUAGUGUGCUGAAAAAUCAGCACGAUUGCUAUUUCAGUGGUUUUAUGUUAAGUAACUCGUACAUUUUUUUAUUCCAAUGAUGUGUUGUAAAUAAAUUAUUUAAGAUUA